rnacentral:rRNA from 1 species
GACGAACGCUGGCGGCGUGCUUAACACAUGCAAGUCGAACGAAGAGCGAUGGAAGCUUGCUUCUAUCACUCUUAGUGGCGAACGGGUGAGUAACGCGUAAUCAACCCGCCCUUCAGAGGGGGACAACAGUUGGAAACGACUGCUAAUACCGCAUACGAUCUAAUCUCGGCAUCGAGGAAAGAUGAAAGGUGGCCUCUAUUUAUAAGCUAUCACUGAAGGAGGGGAUUGCGUCUGAUUAGCUAGUUGGAGGGGUAACGGCCCACCAAGGCGAUGAUCAGUAGCCGGUCUGAGAGGAUGAACGGCCACAUUGGGACUGAGACACGGCCCAGACUCCUACGGGAGGCAGCAGUGGGGAAUCUUCCGCAAUGGACGAAAGUCUGACGGAGCAACGCCGCGUGAGUAAUGACGGCCUUCGGGUUGUAAAGCUCUGUUAAUCGGGACGAAAGGCCUUCUUGCGAACAGUUAGAAGGAUUGACGGUACCGGAAUAGAAAGCCACGGCUAACUACGUG